rnacentral:rRNA from 1 species
AGUGAACGCUGGCGGUAGGCCUAACACAUGCAAGCCGAACGGCAGCACAGUAAGAGCUUGCUCUUACGGGUGGCGAGUGGCGGACGGGUGAGGAAUACAUCGGAAUCUACUUUUUCGUGGGGGCUAACGUAGGGAAACUUACGCUAAUACCGCAUACGACCUACGGGUGAAAGCAGGGGACCUUCGGACCUUGCGCGAUUGAAUAAGCCGAUGUCGGAUUAGCUAGUUGGCGGGGUAAAGGCCCACCAAGGCGACGAUCCGUAGCGCGUCUGAGAGGAAGAACCGCCACACUGUAACUGAGACUCGGUCCAGACUCCUAGGGGAGGAAGCAGUGGGGAAUAUUGGGCGAGGGGGGCAAGCCUGAUCCAGCCAUACCGGGUGGAUGAAGAGGGCGUUCGGGUUGUAAAGCCCUUUUGUUGGGAAAGAAAAGCAGCAGGUUAAUACCCCGCUGUUCUGACGGUACCCAGAGAAUAAGCACCGGCUAACUUCGUG